rnacentral:rRNA from 1 species
GUAGGUGGCAAGCGUUAUCCGGGAAUUAUUGGGGCGUAAAGCGCGCGUAGGCGGUUUUUUAAGUCUGAUGUGAAAGCCCACGGGCUCAACCGUGGGAGGGUCAUUGGAAACUGGAAAACUUGAGUGCAGAAGAGGAAAGUGGAAUUCCAUGUGUAGCGGUGAAAUGCGCAGAGAUAUGGAGGAACACCAGUGGCGAAGGCGACUUUCUGGUCUGUAACUGACGCUGAUGUGCGAAAGCGUGGGGAUCAAACAGGAUUAGAUACCCUGGUAGUCCACGCCGUAAACGAUGAGUGCUAAGUGUUAGGGGGUUUCCGCCCCUUAGUGCUGCAGCUAACGCAUUAAGCACUCCGCCUGGGGAGUACGACCGCAAGGUUG